GCUGAGGGCCGGGCGGCUGAGGGCAGGGCUCGCAGCGCGGCUCCGCCCGCACGGGCUGCGGGACAAAGGGCGGCUGGUCUACACCCGGCAGCGGGCUCCGAUCGCGGUGCGCCGCCCCGAGCAGGCGGUGCGGUUGUCAGCAGGCACGGAUGACGGGGGUGGGCCUUUGUCUGGCGGCGGCGAGCGCUGAAUUAGCGGAGCUGCUGCCGCUGUCACGCCCUCUGUUAGAGCUGCGCCCUCUGCCCUCUCCCUUUAGGGGAGAAGCUAGACGCAUUUACGCAUGUAAACGUGCAAGGAGAUUUCUACACGAAACGCAGAACCUCGCGCUCGCUUCCGGACACGAUCGCUUCUUCCCCAGGUCGGGAUUACCUCAACCUUUGAGCGACUGAACUGAGCCCUUCAGCAACGCUGUCUCCUCUGUAGGGCCGCCAGGAGCCGGCAGCUCCUCAGCACGUACGCGAAGGAAGUCCACACAACACCACCUUGCUAUGUGUAUUGGCAGUUUAGAUGUGAAUAAACAAACAUUUUCUGUUUGUAAAGCACAUUUAUUAGAAAAAAAAAAAGUUACAAAAGAGACUGUGUGACAAAUAUCCUCUCAUGUUGGUCAGGACUUCGAAAGUGAAAUCUGUAUAACUGUGUUUCUUGGAACAAAGAUCAGAAUGAAUUACACAACGAAUCAAAGUUGAUCAAAGUGUCCAGACUUCACGUUCAAAAGUUUUUGCAGAUAUCUAAAAGAAAUUCUAAGACUGAAUUUCAUAUCCCAAGGGAUCGAGGUCCUGGUCCAGAAGCAUCAGAGAAGAUUCCCUCAGCUUCUGUAAGAAUUUUCGGAGUUCUUCUUUUGAAAAUACCUAAGAAUUAAAAAAAGUACAUAAUUGAGUUAUAUUUAUUUGCAAGGAAUUGCACUGGUAUCAAAGUGAAUGGUGGUUUGCUGAGCUACUCAAUGUCUUCACUGAUUUUUCGUCUAGAAGAGUGCCCACAACAGAUCCAUAUUUCAGAAAGACAUUUGGUAUGGGACUGGGAGCAGUGGCAGUACUCAAACCCACAAGGAGUGUCCAGAUAACUCUGUCUCAGCUACUACACAAAGUACUGGGGAACUGACAAGUUUAAUUUUCCUGUUAUUGCUGGCAGAGAUAUUAUAAAGGCAAUCCAUGCAAAUGCAUCACAGUGUUUUUCUUAGUCUUGAUGUUUCCUAUCUGGUUUCUAAUCCUCUACCUCCAUCCAACACGGAUGCCUUUUGGGAUAUGUGAUUUUUGUGAGGUAUGUAUUUCAGGGGAAUGUAUUUGGGAGUCUUGGAGGGAGAAGGUUGGGUAAAUCAAAUACCCCCAAGUGAAACCUGCUUAUAAAAUGCUCUGAAGUGUAAUGGAGAAAAAAAAAAAUUAGAAUGAAAUACAAUUUUAUAGUUCAACUUCUAUCAGUUCAACUGCUGUUAUCGAAAAAUUGGUACUCAGAAGAACUAUUUUGCCAUCACCUUUGGUGUUUCAAAGUUAACGCUUGGAUUCCUUUUAAUCAGCAUAAAAAGAAACUCUUUACUACUGCAGUGAAUGGGAAAAGAUGAAGAAACUUAGGAUGUUCAGUACCAUAUGGUGUCUUCCUCUCUGUACGGAAGCUUCUUUCACAGCCAACCCACGGAGCUUUUAAUUAGAAGCCAAGCUGCCUGCAGUUCUCAGUAACUCACCGUAUAGAGCUUGUGUCGCUCGGAUGCCACCAUAUCAGCCAGCCUCAGGCAUUCCUGGUACUGCCCAGUACUGUGCAACACCGUGUGCAGUAAGAAACACAUCAUUGGCAGACACAGCUUUCGCAGCAGAAUCAUCUGAUGUGUUCGUUCGGGGUCCUCCUCAGCAUCCUUACCAAAGCACAACAUACAUUAGUCUUACAAACACCCACCUUUAAAAGGCAACAUAAUCAAGAUAUUUGUAGUGUCAGAGGCAAAAAAAAAUCAGGACUAAGCCUAAACUGGAGUGCCAGAUCUGGUUUAUAUCAUACCUGAAGGGGAGUGACCUAUAACUGGUGACAGCAAGGCCAGAGAGAAUUACUGAUAAGUAGGACAUUGAACGAAAAAUGGCAAGGGUACAGCUGGGUACAAUCCAGCACUUUGUGGCCCGUGGCAUGACAUUAAAAAUUAUUUUACCUCUCUAACAUCAACCAUCCAUCCUCCAUCAACAAACAGCAACACGUUGUACAUCUUCUCCUUGACAUCACUUGUAAGACCAUCCAAGAAACUUUUCCAGAUACCAUAGUCCAC